rnacentral:rRNA from 1 species
UACGUAGGGUGCGAGCGUUGUCCGGAAUUAUUGGGCGUAAAGAGCUCGUAGGCGGUCUGUCGCGUCGGUCGUGAAAACUUGGGGCUUAACCCUGAGCUUGCGGUCGAUACGGGCAUGACUGGAGUUCGGUAGGGGAGACUGGAAUUCCCGGUGUAGCGGUGAAAUGCGCAGAUAUCAGGAGGAACACCGGUGGCGAAGGCGGGUCUCUGGGCCGAUACUGACGCUGAGGAGCGAAAGCGUGGGGAGCGAACAGG